rnacentral:sRNA from 1 species
UGGCUCUAUCUCCAGAAAAGCGAAAACUGAAUUUUUAGUGCUGAAACGGUAAGCCGCUUGAGCCGGAGGGGCAUUUGCCAGUACGCAGUUGCGAACUGCGGAUUUUGUCCCAUCUUGAAGAAAAGUGGAAGCUCUAUUCGGUAUUAUCACCAGGGAAAUGAUAAUAGGAUUCUAGUCACGAACUGUGGGAAAAAGAGUUGACGUAUUAAUCGUGUGGCUUUUAUGCUUAAAGGAGCCAACAUGAUAGGGAGUUGUUAUGGAUACCGAUUUGAAAUUGUCAUUGCUUACUACUGUUGCCGCAUUGGCAAUGAUUAUUGUUUUCGGUUUUAUUGCUGCAUUUAACUAAUUC